UACGUAGGGUGCAAGCGUUGUCCGGAAUUAUUGGGCGUAAAGAGCUCGUAGGCGGUUUGUCGCGUCUGCUGUGAAAACCCGAGGCUCAACCUUGGGCCUGCAGUGGGUACGGGCAGACUAGAGUGCGGGUAGGGGAGAAUGGAAUUCCUGGUGUAGCGGUGGAAUGCGCAGAUAUCAGGAGGAACACCGAUGGCGAAGGCAGUUCUCUGGGCCGUUACUGACGCUGAGGAGCGAAAGCGUGGGAGCGAACAGG
rnacentral:rRNA from 1 species